rnacentral:lncRNA from 1 species
AAUGUCUGUAAAGUAAGCGAAAUGACUAGUUGAAUUGUACAUUAAAUAUAUCUAAUCCCUAAGAGUUUAUAAUGGAAAGGGAUCAAAAUGACAGCUUUUUGGGGUGUUGGGAUGAUUCGUCUGAUUGGGAAAAUAAGUACCUUAUUUGGGCCUAUAUGGUAUUUUUAAUUCUGUGUGUCUGCUCCCAAACUCUGUAGCCCUGCCCUCACUUAUAUUGUGUAUCCUGUUUCAGAUUGUUUCCGUUUCUUCUGAGACACUGCAUAUACCCCUACAUGUAUCUGUGCUAGGCAUACAUCCCUGUAACUUCAUGGCAUUUUUGUAAUUGCUGUGUACCUGUUACGUAUACUUAUUGGGAAAACUACAGAGCUAGGGAGAGAUCUAAAGAAAUACUAGAAAUUUUUUUCUGCGAAGAAAACUUUAGAAAAUUGUUGACAUCAUCUGUGGCAUGCAGCAAAAGUUGAUGUAAAAGGAACAGAAAGACCUAUGGAGACAAUGGGAUGUAAUAACAGAAAACAUACAGAAACAAUUGGUUCUGAAAUCAGUUAAGAGCAGAACUGGAAUUCAUACUCUGUGGAAUGAAUCAGCAGUGUGGAAGGAGUAAUAAGAUUUUUUACAAAGAUUUUGAAUUU